CCUACGGGAGGCAGCAGUGGGGAAUUUUGGACAAUGGGGGAAACCCUGAUCCAGCCAUCCCGCGUGUGCGAUGAAGGCCUUCGGGUUGUAAAGCACUUUUGGCAGGGAAGAAACGGCGUGCCCUAAUACGGGACGUCACUGACGGUACCUGCAGAAUAAGCACCGGCUAACUACGUGCCAGCAGCCGCGGUAAUACGUAGGGUGCAAGCGUUAAUCGGAAUUACUGGGCGUAAAGCGUGCGCAGGCGGUUCGGAAAGAAAGAUGUGAAAUCCCAGAGCUUAACUUUGGAACUGCAUUUUUAACUCCCGAGCUAGAGUAUGUCAGAGGGGGGUAGAAUUCCACGUGUAGCAGUGAAAUGCGUAGAGAUGUGGAGGAAUACCGAUGGCGAAGGCAGCCCCCUGGGAUAAUACUGACGCUCAUGCACGAAAGCGUGGGGAGCAAACAGGAUUAGAUACCCUGGUAG
rnacentral:rRNA from 1 species